rnacentral:rRNA from 1 species
GAUGAACGCUGGCGGCGUGCCUAACACAUGCAAGGCGAACGGAGAGGAAGGACGGAAGGGGGAGGAGGGAAGACUGUACUUCUUAGUGGUGGACGGGUGAGGAAAGUGGGGGUAAACUGCUCUAUACAGGGGGAUAGUAGAUGGAAAGGGAGGGUAAGACAGAAUAAGUCGGUUAAAUGGCAUGAUUUGAUCGGGAAAUGAGCAAUCAGGUAUAGGAUGGGCCCGCGUCCGAUUAGACAGUUGGCAGGGUACAAGCCUACCAACACGACGAUCGGUAGCCGGACUGAGAGGUGCGACGGCCACAGUGGGACUGAGACACGGCCCAAACUCCUACGGGAGGCAGCAGUGGGGGAUAUUGCACAAUGGAGGAAACUCUGAUGCAGCGACGCCUCAUGAGUGAUGAAUUAUUUCGCUAUGUAAAGCUCUAUCAUCAGGGAAGAUGAUGACAGUACCUGACGAAGAAGCCCCAGCUAACUACGUG